GCACUCUUUGCGGCAAAAGGAUUGCCAAUCAACAACUCUGUGUUCCGGUAGAUGUAACUCGGACAUCAAUAAUUUCUGUCGAGGAGGAUUCAGAGUUUCCCAGUAAGCCACAAAUUGCAACACUGUUUCCGCUGAUAAAUGGACACUACUAAAAAACGAGCCUUUGAAUACUGUACACUUAAAAGCACACUUGUGCUUGAUUUUAUUUGCUACGUACGACUUUUGACACCUAAAUUGUUUACUCUCCCAGUUCACCUUCACUUCAUUGUGACGCGUAGGACAGAUGGUAGAUGAUUUUCGAACUCCGUGAUUAAGUAAAAAUUCAUUACCUCUCUCCUUUUCUGUUGUUAAUAAAACCACUUCUUGAAUUGUAAAAUUACAACCGUCACACACCAUGAUUGCAAAAGCAAUUACUUAAACACCAAAAUCGCAACUAAUUAAUUGAAACUGCUAGUUAAUUUGUAAAUAAUGUCAAAAGUCUCACAGAAACACUUGUCACAAAAACGUAAACAAAAAUUACUUACCUUUGCGGCAAAAUCAUCAAUGAUCCUUAAUUGCUACUUCCGUUCAUUCAUCGUUUUUGAAGAGAGAAUCACGCAAUAUCAGCCUCCCGCGCGAAAGCCUUCCACACGUUAUUGCAUGGAGCCAAAAAAAAAAACGAGGUUGGUAGCACUGAAUCUGGUGACUUCUUCUCACCCCCCCCCCCUCAUCCGGACGUCAACACGAGGUGUCAACGGAUUCAUCCUUAACCUGAAUGGGCUUGUCUCCAAAAUAACCGAUUCAGUGUGUACUUUAUCAAAAUUUGGGGGCCAGAAUAGACGCACUGUGUUUUCCGAAGUUGUGCUGAGGGUGAAAAAGGUGUAACUAGUCUAUUUUGAGCGAUAGAAACAGGGAAAAGUGCAUAAAUGUAAAAGCCCGUCUUCUGCAUAAUUAAUCACAACCGCGGUGGAUGACUUCAUAAAUCAAAUUCUUCAAAGCGCGCUAUCUCAGUCAAUAUGUCAGUAGGAAGUUGCUGUUCGGACAGAUCUCAUUAUUUUCAGCCAAUAUCAAAAGGUCAAGCAUCAAAUCACGAUUCUGAGACCAGCGCAACUGACCCAUUGCAUUAUUCCAACUUAGAAAAAAUCAAGAUGGCAGUAAACCUAACUGCUCUCGUGGUGAUAGGUCAAAAUGUCCAAACCCUGAAUGCCCAAUAAUCUAAAAAGGCCAAAUAUCAGUGAUGUCCAGCAGACAGAUAAGUCCAAAAGUAGGCAAAUGUCCAAAUGUGAGAUUAGGCAUUGGUUGAGGUGUCAUUGGAUUUUUGGGUGCAGGGUGGCAAGCUGUCAGUGAAUGUAGCGAUAGAAACAGAUGCGUCGGAUAAUGGAGAGAUACAGGUUUGGAAAAUAUGGUGAUAAAAUUUUUCAUGAGAGCAGGCAAAUUCUUACUUUUAAAAAUGCAUUGUGAUUUAUUUUCCAAAUUUUAAGUGAUAUUGACAAACAUAACAAACAUGGCUAAUAUUACCCCGUUUGUCAUGAAAAGCCAAAAAAAAUUUAUUCUUGUCCAUAACAACUUAAUUUGGACAUUCACCUACUUUUGGACUUAUUUGUCUGCUGGACAUUACUGAUAUUUGGCCUUUUUAGAUUUUUGGGCAUUCAGGGUUUGGACAUUUUGACUUUUGGACAUUUUUGUUUGGACAUUUUGACCUAUCACCGCUCUCGUCGACGUUUUGACUAAAAAUUUCUCGACGCAAUCUCAAGGUCAAAAGCCCAUGUAAGUGUAAUAUACCCGAGUCCAAUUAAAGUUGAAUCGUAAGUUGAAUUUAAGUUGAGACCUUUAAGACCCUCAAGACCUUAGGAGACCCUUUCGGGGAAAGUAUUGAAGGAAACCUUAAGGAUCAGUAGGAAUAGUUUCUGCUUUACUGCGAGAUCUUUGAGCUGCUCUUUUCAUUGCAGGAACCUAGGACAGUUCGGUCACUAGCCUUUCUUGCUCAUUUUCUAAAGCAUCACAAACUACGAUACAUAGGUUGUCCCAAAAAUCCGGACUGGUUCUGUAACUUCAAAACCACGAUAGAUACACACAUGAUCUUGGUCUCGUUUUAAAGAUCAACUCAAUAUCUAUCGAUUAAACCAAGAUCAGCGCAAUCGCAUAACAAUUAACGGAGUUAUUACUAAUUUCCUCCCAAUUUUUCAUAUAAUUUAGUUCGCCAAUUUUACCUAAAGAUUCUGAAAAUUGUAAGAAAAAAUAUUCAUAACAUCCCUUAGAAAAUAAACAUUUUAUUGAUGGAAAUUUGCCAACUCUAGAAUGUAAAUGCGGCGUUCUUCUUUAGCACGGCAGAACAGGUCAUGGGUUCGAAUUCCGGUGGUGGCGACAAAUUUUCUAGGAACCGACUAGUGGAUCUGCAAAAACAGACUCCAGUCGGUCUUAAUCCCUGAAAAUUUGAAAACCUGGAGCAUGGGUGUGUACUAACCCUAAUCCGAUGCUCAUUCAAGGUUUUAGAAUCCUCCAAUGAUUUAAAAACAUAAAUAACUUCUAUAAAAAAGCCCGGCAAGAGUAUCUUGGUUUAUUUUGCGAGGAAAGCUCCGUACUCUUAAAGGAUGUCUGUCAUUCUGAGCACCUUCAAUUUCGUACGACACUGUGCAACACCUCUGUUGCGAAAUAGUCGCUUGAAGCGCCGAGCUGCGGCCGG
rnacentral:lncRNA from 1 species